CAGGGGCCGUCACCGCAGCGUUUGCUAACGUUAGCUUCUUGUCUCAUCUGGGGUCUGAUAAACAGUAAAUUCAUCAAAGUCAGUGUGCACAACGCUAUUUUCCGAUAAAACUGUAGCUGUGAAAUUUCAGGGGACCCC